AUUGAACGCUGGCGGCAUGCCUAACACAUGCAAGUCGAACGAGUGGCGAACGGGUGAGUAACUUAUGGGAACAUACCCGGUUAUGGGGGCUAACUGUCGGAAACGGCAGCUAAUACCGCAUACUAUUGGAGGUGCCGAGAUGUGAUUAGCUAGUGGGGGGGGUAAUGGCCCACCAAGGCGACGAUCCCUAGCUGGUCUGAGAGGAUGAACGGCCACACUGGAACUGAGACACGGUCCAGACUCCUACGGGAGGCAGCAGUGGGGAAUAUUGCAAAAUGGGCGCAAGCCUGAUGCAGCCAUGCCGCGUGUAUGAAGAAGGCCUUCGGGUUGUAAAGGACUUUCGUCGGGGAAGCGGUACCCGAAGAAUAAGCACCGGCUAACUACGUGCCAGCAGCCGCGGUAAUAC
rnacentral:rRNA from 1 species